UACGAAGGGGGCUAGCGUUGUUCGGAAUUACUGGGCGUAAAGCGCGCGCAGGCGGUCUUCCAAGUCAGUGGUGAAAGCCCGGAGCUCAACUCCGGAACUGCCAUUGAAACUGUAAGACUUGAGGAUGAGAGAGGUGAGUGGAAUUCCCAGUGUAGAGGUAAAAUUCGUAGAUAUUCGCAAGAACACCAGUGGCGAAGGCGGCUCACUGGCCCGAUACUGACGGCUGAGGCACGAAAGCGUGGGGAGCAACAGG
rnacentral:rRNA from 1 species